GAUGAACGCUGACAGAAUGCUUAACACAUGCAAGUCAACUUGAAUUUGGGUUUUUAACUUAGGUUUGGGUGGCGGACGGGUGAGUAACGCGUAAAGAACUUGCCUCACAGCUAGGGACAACAUUUGGAAACGAAUGCUAAUACCUAAUAUUAUGAUAAUAGGGCAUCCUAUAAUUAUGAAAGCUAUAAGCGCUGUGAGGGAGCUUUGCGUCCCAUUAGCUAGUUGGAGAGGUAACGGCUCACCAAGGCGAUGAUGGGUAGCCGGCCUGAGAGGGUGAUCGGCCACAAGGGGACUGAGACACGGCCAUUACUCCUACGGGAGGCAGCAGUGGGGAAUAUUGGACAAUGGACCGAGAGUCUGAUCCAGCAAUUCUGUGUGCACGAUGAAGUUUUUCGGAAUGUAAAGUGCUUUCAGUUGGGAAGAAACAAAUGACGGUACCAACAGAAGAAGUGACGGCUAAAUACGUG
rnacentral:rRNA from 1 species